rnacentral:rRNA from 1 species
AGUGAACGCUGGCGGCAGGCCUAACACAUGCAAGUCGAACGGCAGCACAAGAGAGCUUGCUCUCUGGGUGGCGAGUGGCGGACGGGUGAGGAAUGCAUCGGAAUCUGCCCAUUUGUGGGGGAUAACCUCGGGAAACCGGGACUAGUACCGCAUACGACCUACGGGUGAAAGCAGGGGAUCUUCGGACCUUGCGCAGAUGGAUGAGCCGAUGCCGGAUUAGCUAGUUGGAGGGGUAAAGGCCCACCAAGGCGACGAUCCGUAGCUGGUCUGAGAGGAUGAUCAGCCACACUGGGACUGAGACACGGCCCAGACUCCUACGGGAGGCAGCAGUGGGGAAUAUUGGACAAUGGGCGCAAGCCUGAUCCAGCCAUGCCGCGUGUGUGAAGAAGGCCUUCGGGUUGUAAAGCACUUUUGUUGGGAAAGAAAAGCAGCCGGUUAAUACCCGGUUGUCAUGACGGUACCCAAAGAAUAAGCACCGGCUAACUUCGUG